rnacentral:rRNA from 1 species
AUGGACGUGAGUGCCCGAGUGAACUACCUCAAGAAGAUGCAUGAAGAUACAAGGCACACCAUCGAGCGCCAAGUACAACGACUCGCGACCAAGCUCAACGUCGACAAGCAACCCAUGAUAAACAUUGGAGAUGUUGUGUGGCUACACCUUCGCAAGGACCGCUUCCCCAACGAACACAAAUCCAAACUUCUACCACGAGCCGAUGGACCCUUCAAGGUGCUUGCACGAUACAACAACAACGCCUACAAGCUCGACAUCCCACACGACAAGUACUCUGUGAGCGACAUCUUCAACAUCAAAGAUCUCUCUCCCUACCAUGGUGAUGAAGAUUUUGAUCCGAGGCCGGAUCUUUUCCAAGGGAGGGGAGAUGAUGUAGAGCAUCCUAUGAUCAUCCCCAUGGACCUACCAUCGUCU